AUUGAACGCUGGCGGCAGGCCUAACACAUGCAAGUCGAACGGUAGCACAGAGAGCUUGCUCUCGGGUGACGAGUGGCGGACGGGUGAGUAACGGCUGGGAAACUGCCCGAUGGAGGGGGAUAACUACUGGAAACGGUAGCUAAUACCGCAUAACGUCGCAAGACCAAAGUGGGGGACCUUCGGGCCUCACACCAUCGGAUGUGCCCAGAUGGGAUUAUCUAGUAGGUGGGGUAAUGGCUCACCUAGGCGACGAUCCCUAGCUGGUCGGGGAGGAUGACCAGCCACACUGGAACUGAGACACGGUCCAGACUCCUACGGGAGGCAGCAGUGGGGAAUAUUGCACAAUGGGCGCAAGCCUGAUGCAGCCAUGCCGCGUGUAUGAAGAAGGCCUUCGGGUUGUAGAGUACUUUCAGCGGGGAGGAAGGCGGUGAAGUUAAUAACUUCACCGAUUGACGUUACCCGCAGAAGAAGCACCGGCUAACUCCGUGCCAGCAGCCGCCGUAA
rnacentral:rRNA from 1 species